AACCCGCUGAUGAUUUGAGUUUCAAUAUUAUUGUACAGUAUUCUUAAAACUGUUUAUAUUUGUAUAGGGUAUUUUAAUAAAUUAUUAUUAAUCGUUACCUUUGUGCAUGAAUUAAAUAUAAUAAAAGUUGAAUAAUUAUUAUUAAAAUUCAUUACUUAAUAACUUUGACCUUGACUUAAUUGACCGUGUAAGUUUUUGGAGACUAAAUAUUAUUCGUAGAUAAUGUGUCAAAUUUAAUAUGAUCUCUUUAAUCAUUAAUUUUAGAGAUAUUCAAUGGUUUUUCUAUAUUUUUAUAUAAAC